UACGUAGGGGGCAAGCGUUGUCCGGAUUUACUGGGCGUAAAGCGCGUGUAGGCGGCUACGCAGGUCCGUUGUGAAAACUGGAGGCUCAACCUCCAGACGUCGACGGAAACCGUGUGGCUAGAGUCCGGAAGAGGAGAGUGGAAUUCCUGGUGUAGCGGUGAAAUGCGCAGAUAUCAGGAAGAACACCAAUGGCGAAGGCAGCUCUCUGGAACGGUACUGACGCUGAGACGCGAAAGCGUGGGGAGCGAACAGG
rnacentral:rRNA from 1 species